UCGAGGAUCUUCGGCAAUGGGCGCAAGCCUGACCGAGCGACGCCGCGUGCGCGAUGAAGGCCUUCGGGUUGUAAAGCGCUGUCGAGGGGGAGGAAAGCCCGCAAGGGUCUGACCUAUCCCUGGAGGAAGCACGGGCUAAGUUCGUGCCAGCAGCCGCGGUAAGACGAACCGUGCGAACGUUGUUCGGAAUCACUGGGCUUAAAGGGCGCGUAGGCGGGCAGCCAAGUCUGUGGUGAAAUCUUUCGGCUUAACCGGAAAAUAGCCGUGGAUACUGGCUGUCUUGAGGGAGGUAGGGGCCUGUGGAACUUCCGGUGGAGCGGUGAAAUGCGUUGAUAUCGGAAGGAACGCCGGUGGCGAAAGCGACGGGCUGGAUCUCUUCUGACGCUGAGGCGCGAAAGCUAGGGGAGCAAACGGGAUUAGAUACCCCCGUAGUCC
rnacentral:rRNA from 1 species